CGUGCAGGGCAGGGCAGGGCAGGGCCCCGGCUGGAGGGCUUCGGCCCCGCUCGGUAGCCGCACCAGCAUGGAACAGCACCCGCAGGAGAACGCACCGCACAGCCUAAUGCUUUUCCACAUUUAAACGUUUUCAGCCUUCUCCAAGUCCUUCUCAUGGCCCCUUAUUUUCCUUUCUACCUCCCUUUCUUUCAAACACGUGGAUUCGAAAGCAAAUCCCAGGAACGAUGACCAGAGACAGCGAUCCCUCCUCACGUAAACACUUUUCCAUCUUUUUAAAUCUUUCAGGAGACGCAACAGAAAAUAACCCUUGUAUUUAUGCAAAUUCUGAAGUGGCGUGUGAUGAUGGAAACAAAACAGAGCUGGACCGCAGCCAAGGCAUGGCACUGGCGGGGCCUCUCAGCUGCUCGCCUCCCGAUUCUUCGGAGGAAGCAGCUGUAGAGAAAUGAAAAUACAGAAGCCCCCGCGCCCGCCCGCCCGCGCAUGCAUUCCAGCACCCGUCACCUCGGAGGCGGCAGGACGUGGGCUCUGGACCCGGCUCUGCGGCAGCCGCUGCCCGGAACACCCUGUCGUCCCCCACAAGCCUCCCUGUCCCGCGCUCCCGAUUCCCCUUUCAGGAAUUUACAAACAUUUUCCGCAGAUCAAUAUCUGUAUUGAUUAUUCAUUGUGUGCGAGUCGUGUGUCUUUGGUGAUCCAACCUGGCAGAGUGAGCAGCCAAAGGCUGCUGCAGUUGCACACAAAAAAAUCCACAGAAGGCGAGAGGGACCCAGACCUCGCCGGGCUUACCGCUGCCAGCCACGGAGACGGAUGGAGAGGAAGGAAGAAAGAAAAUGGGGAAGUCGGAAGGAGGAAUGAGGGAACGAGGGAGCCAAGGAGAGAAAGCAAGAGCAGGAAAACAAAGUCACCGCUGGAGAACUGGUGCCGGGGCAUGCUGGCAGCCUGGAGAAAUUUCCAGCCUUGUGCUCGCCGUUCUGCACGCAGAUGUGGUGGACUUAAUGCUCUGGGAGCAAAAAGUGACUCACAGUUUUGGUAUCUGCUACGUAAGAGCAUUGGGGGGAUUCCUUGGCUGGCUGACAGAAAAGGAAGAAAGCAGCAGCAGAGGUACAAAACGAUUCCUUCCUCCUGCCUUCCUGGGAAUGCGGCUCAUCCGGGCUGGCUGGAGCAGCUCCCUGCUCUCUUAUGAUAUGCAAAAGGAGAAUAAUUAAAAGCGCCAGCAUCACUCGCAAAGUGAGUAAACACAAAGCCUUUCAAAACAUGCUCUUCAGCUAAUGAGAAGCUGUAAUUUCUUAUACUUAAAGGCAAAAAAGACACUGAUGAGACUCAGUGGAGUGUGUGUGCAUGCGCGCCUGCCUGUGUGUGCAUGUGUUUGUAGAUACGAGAGAAUCGGUUAAUUGUUGAUGAUGUUUAGAAAAGGGAUUAUGAGAAAAGACACUGAAAUGAUGACAGGAAACAUCUUGGAUCAGAGCCAAAGAAAUAAAAUAAUCAAGGACAAUCAAGCCUGCGGCUCCGGAAAGCGCCGACUGCUCUGCCGGGGACUUGGAAGGAAUUUCCCCGUGCUGCUGAGCUGCAGCUGGAAUACGUGCUUGGCACCAGGAGGGAGAACUGCAAGAAGCAGUUUGCUUAGAGCAUGAAACAACAGAAGGCAGAACUAUGGAGCUGUGCUAUAAUUCAGAGGUUAAACAGCUUUGUCUGCUUCUAUCUCGGACGGAGUCUCAUUUUUACCCACAUCUGACCUGGUCUCUGAAAAUGCAACUUCUGAAGCCCUCUGAAUGCAAGCAGAAGCUGACGAUUCUCCAUAUGCCUUUCCAGAACUGCUGUGACAUUACAAAAACAAAGAAAAGGGAGCUUGAGGAAUUAAGUUCUCUUGUGGCUGCAGGAUCUGCUGGACCUUACCAUGUGAACUGACUCUGGAAACAAUUCCUUCCUUAAUUCUGGAAAUUGGAAACCACUUACGCCAGGUGGGGGAUUGCAACUCCCUGCCUCCAAGCUCACAGGAAAAGCAACAAUCAUCUGCAAUAACAGGAGCAAGCUUUACUUCUCACCUGGGCAUAUGAUAGCUGCCCUAAACGAAUGGAUUGUAAUGUUUUCUUUCUCUUGGGCUGAGGUUGGGUGGGGAGAGAGGACACAGGGAAUUUUAAGCCUCCUGGUGACUGUUACAUUGUAUGUGAGCUACAAAAAUGCCAUCCCUUUGCUCUGGAUGAUAAACUUCAUCUUGCUUUGUUAUUACUGAAUUCUGGUGCAUUACGUUCUGGGCUUCUCCAGCAACAGAAACACAGGGUCUAUUAAAGUGGGAAUCUUUGGGGACAAGGAGGCAGAGAAAUGAGCCAAUCAUACAUGACUUUUCCACAUUUCCUAUUUUUCAGCAUCUGCAGGAAGCUUUUCGGAUGGCAAUCAGCAAAUGGCCAUCUCCUCACUACCACCGGUGCGGUGGAGCCUGCCAGAGCUGUAACCGCGUCCUUUGUCAGAUUGCCUGCUAUGCCUGCAUUUGCCUUUUGUUUUCCAAUCAGACUCCAGAUGUUCAUGAACAAGAAUGAAAGGCAGAGAUGCAAAACCUACAAUGAAAACAAAUGAUACGUUUAAACGGUGUUCAGGCUGAAAGGUGGGGUCUUGAGGUGCUGGGGCCAGAAGAGACGAAAAUCCUGCAGGCUGCACAACGCCCAGAAACACACAGCGUCCCCUCCAGUGCCAGGGCUCACGUGAGAGCGCUCCGUGCCGGCGGUCUGCGUCAGGAUGCUGCAGCGUUGGCUGUGCAGAGACUCAAAGAGAUGCCAGUAAUUGGCCAGAAGAGAAGCCUUAAUUGUCCCUGCUCUGGCUGCUGUUAAUGUUAUAAUUACUACUAUCACUACUAAUGAACUUUAAUUAGAAAAAAGCCGCAGUGCCUGCAAGCACCAACUUCUAAAAUCCUUUGAGUCCCCAUCCAGCAUCCUUUGCCCCUGUGAGCAGGGCUGGCUGUGAUGUGGGGCUGUGGGUGUGGGGUGGGGCAGUGGGUGCUCACACGGCUUCCUCUGGCAUGGCGCUGGUUACACAAACAGCUGUACAGAUGUUGAGCUGUCACACGGUUCAGGAGAAUAAAGCAAUUUAACCCAAGCAUGGCCUUUUUAUCAGCAUCUAUCAAACAAGGGAAGUUUUGAAAUAACCUCUACUGCAUAUGUCUGUUUUUUUUUUAAGGGUAUGUGUGGGCGCUUUACACGCCACGAAGGCAUAUGUCAGCAGCAUUUUUAUGUGAAUAUGAAUGUGGAAAGGAGGAGUCUGUGAUCAAGCCCAGAUCUCCCCGGGUAGUCUGAGCACACAUCAGCCUGAGCCCUACUGCCCUCUGCUCUGGAAGGUCAGGAACUGUGGCACAGCCCAGGGACACUCUCCCCAUUGCUCACCUCUAACUGUAGGAACCCAAUCCCAGCACCACUGAAAAUGUGCUGCAGCCACAGGAAUUUCCUGAGCUCUGGAAACCUGUGCAAUACAUACUACUGGGAAGCAGGAAUGUUAACAUGGAGAAAGGAAAAUGUAUUUCAGACUCCUUUGUUAUUUUUCCCAUAUUCCUAGUGCAGGCUGGAUGAUAAAGGCAAAGCCGCUUAGGCUGUGUGGCUAACGAGCUACCUCCACUAAUUUCAGUGGAGUCAUGCUGGUUUACACCAGUCAAGAGCCCACAGCCUGAAUGUUUUGAAGACAGACAACUUAAAGAUGUUAUCUGUUGAAGAAGUUGAAAGAAAACCUCUCAUUACCUGCCACAUGCCUGUAUCUCCCAGUAAGGGAAACAAUAAGAGAAUCAGCUAGUGUCUAAGGAAACCUCUCUAAUUUAUGCAUGGUAGGGACAUCAAUGUAGUUUCAUCUGCAUUGACAAGUAGAAAAACACAUCGAAACCAUUAAAUAUCUUCAAAACCUAUCCUCAUCCACAGCAAAUC
ensembl:lncRNA